UGGCCGGGUAGGUCCGUCGGGAAAUCCACUGGCCCAACCAGUGGGCGGCCGGCGGAAACCACCUGGCUCGGGACCGGAAGACCCGAGGGGUACGUCCGGGGUAGGAGUGAAAUCCCGUAAUCCUGGACGGACCGCCGAUGGCGAAAGCACCUCGGGAGGACGGAUCCGACAGUGAGGGACGAAAGCUAGGGUCUCGAACCGGAUUAGAUACCCGGGUAGUCCUAGCCGUAAACGAUGCUCGCUAGGUGUGCCGCCGACUACGAGUCGGCGGUGUGCCGUAGGGAAGCCGCUAAGCGAGCCGCCUGGGAA
rnacentral:rRNA from 1 species